GGGCGAUUAGCUCAGCGGGAGAGCAGCUCCUUUACACGGAGAAGGCCGGCGGUUCGAAUCCGUCAUCGCCCA
rnacentral:tRNA from 1 species